rnacentral:rRNA from 1 species
UACGUAGGGUGCAAGCGUUGUCCGGAAUUAUUGGGCGUAAAGAGCUCGUAGGCGGUCUGUCGCGUCUGCUGUGAAAACUCAGGGCUUAACCCUGAGCUUGCAGUGGGUACGGGCAGACUAGAGUGCGGUAGGGGAGACUGGAAUUCCUGGUGUAGCGGUGAAAUGCGCAGAUAUCAGGAGGAACACCGGUGGCGAAGGCGGGGUCUCUGGGCCGUAACUGACGCUGGAGG